AGGUGACAGGUGCUGCAUGGCUGUCGUCAGCUCGUGUCGUGAGAUGUUGGGUUAAGUCCCGCAACGAGCGCAACCCUCGAUCUUAGUUGCCAGCAUUUAGUUGGGUACUCUAAGAUAACCGCCGGUGAUAAGCCGGAGGAAGGUGGGGAUGACGUCAAGUCCUCAUGGCCCUUACGCGUUGGGCUACACACGUGCUACAAUGGCGACUACAGUGGGCCGCAACCUCGCGAGGGGUAGCUAAUCUCCAAAAGUCGUCUCAGUUCGGAUUGUUCUCUGCAACUCGAGAGCAUGAAGGCGGAAUCGCUAGUAAUCGCGGAUCAGCAUGCCGCGGUGAAUACGUUCCCAGGCCUUGUACACACCGCCCGUCACACCAUGGGAGUUGGAUUCACCCGAAGGCGCUGCGCUAACUCGCAAGAGAGGCAGGCGAC
rnacentral:rRNA from 1 species